rnacentral:rRNA from 1 species
ACGCUCGACACCUACGGGAGCAGCAGUAGGGAAUCUUCCACAAUGGGCGCAAGCCUGAUGGAGCAACACCGCGUGAGUGAAGAAGGGUUUCGGCUCGUAAAGCUCUGUUGUUGGAGAAGAACGUGCGUGAGAGUAACUGUUCACGCAGUGACGGUAUCCAACCAGAAAGUCACGGCUAACUACGUGCCNGCAGCCGCGGUAAUCUGAGGCGGGCUGGCAAGGC